rnacentral:lncRNA from 1 species
UCUCUCUCUCUCUCUCUCUCUCCCCCAUGUUGUACAUCGCGAGUGGUCAUUUUGUAGAGCCUCUCUCUCUCGAUUUAGAAGAUCAAUCGAUGUUCAUUGCACCAGAUGUUCAUUGCCCAGAAAACUCAAAUACAGUGUACAUCGAUCACUCAAUGAUCCGAUCCCCCGACUCCGAAACUCAACUAUGAUGAUGAUGAAGAAUAACAAUAAUAAUAAUAAUAAUAAUAAAUAAUCAAUGAUAAAUAAUAAUAAUAAUAAUAACAAUAGAGGAAAGCUCCAAAGGGGGGGGGGGGGAAUUAAGGUUCAGAGGGAGUCUUUUCCGUAGGAUGGGCCAUGAUAGUGAUACAACACCAGGAGGGCCCAUUACCAGAAAGCCCGUCACCUGUCCUGCGCCGUCCUAUGGGCCGCUGGUUAACCCUGGACUUCUCCGCCGAACCAGUGAGUGGGCCAGACCUUCCUGCCGACGCUGUUUGCGGUGAUCUUUUAGGGCCUGGGCCCAACAACUUGUGCUCCCCACUAGGCGUUAUUAGCAAGUGGCACCGCUUGCUCACGUGUGAGCGGAUGUCGGUACUUGUCUCAUUAUUGGGCCCCGGCCCAGCAACUUGUUAUGCCACGUGGUGGGCCGGGCCGUCAGACCGGGGAGGCGCCUGGACAUGGGAUGGUCGACUGCGACAGGGCCCACCGCAGUCUCUGUCGUGGCCCCGGGGGGGUUAUACUUUAAAAAUAACCUCUUAAAUUCGUACAUUUAAAAAUAGAGCACUAGGAGCCAUGCAUUUACGAAGGAAUCCCAGAAGGGAUCUAAAUCUAAGGGUUUUAAAUAGGCCACUAAUUAUCCGUAUAUUUACGAAAGAACCGUGACUAUGGGCAAUUUAAGAUGAGUAUUAUGAUAAUGGGCUGGACCAGGAGAUUCCUUAUCUAAGUUGAGAAAGGUCUUUUUGGGCAGAUUGAGCGGCCCAUUUAUGAGCCGCCCAUCCGCUCAAGGUGAGUGGGGGAGGGCGGGGGAGAGAGAGAGAGAGUCAUCUUCUUCUACUGUGACGAGGCUUCUCCUCAGCAAGGGCUUCGCCAUAGCCUGGAGAAAAUAAAUGGACUGCGUUAAUGGGCCAACCAUUUAGGAAUUAAUAAAUCGAGCUAGGAACCCAAAAUUCUGGACUUUCUUGGGUGUCUCUCCCACAAGUAUAACUGCUCCCCUCUCUCCUAGAUAAAUCACAAGAAACACCAAACAUGUUACUAAAACUGGAAAUUCUGUGUAGAAAAAAGAAGAAAAAAAUCUUAUGGUUUCCACUGAAAAGAUUUUUUUUUAACUAUCAAAAAACGCUAAUAAUAAGGACAAGGUGAAUAUUGUGCUCGGGUAGCCCGAUCGCCAGGACACAUCCAAGACGCCAAUCUAUGAAUCAAGAAUAAUUUUUCCACUAAGUAGGAAAAUUUUGCAGCCAUUAAUCAUUAAUCACUGCAGAUAAUCUAUCUAAACAAAGAUGUUGGAAGCAAGAAACGAAGAAGCCCAGCCGUUUCCAAGGUGUGAAGAUGUUGGAGUAGGAUCGCUGGCCCAGUUUUUAUUUGGUGGAGUUACUGGGAAGAAGGUUAUUUUCCAGGAGAGAAAAAGGAAUGUGUGAACACUGACUGUAAAAAAUCAAACUGUGAUCGUGAGAAAGCCCAAUCAGCGCUCAAGCUUCCAUAUGAGAAGCUUCCAGAUUUUUCCACCGUGGGGUCAUCUUUUUCUGCUGUAUGAUAAUAUCAGCGAAACGAAAUGGAUUUUACAUAGACAUGGUUUCAUAGAAUCAUUCGGAAAAAACCAUUUUUCAUUUCAAAGAUCUUAAGCGGCACCCAUAUCCGCAGUCUAUAUAGUUCAGCUGAGCAAUCCCGGCCGUCAACUUUUUCAUUCAAGCAGUAUCCUACGAGUGCAGAUUAUAGUUAACAGUGAUAUCUCAAUCCCUGUGAGAUAUGUAUAAAUCCGGUUGCGUCCGUGUUUCCUGAAAUCUGUCUCAAGCCUCCAGCAAUAUAUUGCCGAGAGUAGACACUGCUAAAAAAAACAUCUAAAAAGCAGAAUCAAGAAGUAGGAUUGGCGCGCUUGGAAUGUGGUAAGCAUUGGACAGAAGCCUACAGUAGAGCUCAUAAAUGCCAAAUAUAACCCAUAAUGGACUGCAAGAACCUACCUAUCUACAAGAAAAUUAUACGUUUCUCUAAAAAAAAUGAAUUAUCUCCCAUCUCCGUCUGAGUAGAUCCUCAAUUUUCUUCGAGGAAACGCUUCCAUCAAUGAGAAUUCUGACGGAUCGGACAAUUACUCCACCAUGACAUCUUUUCAAUGAAACGUUACCAUGAUAAUCUUGCAGAGAAAAAAUUAAAGUCAAUAUCAAUGUCCAUAGUAAAUUUAUGCCCCUCAAUUCAACCCCUUACGGAAAAAUGCGGAGAUUAAAGCACACAAUCCUGCCGAUUUUCCUCCUCAGAAAAGGGAUAACAGACGCCGAAACAAGGAAAAAUAAGAAUGACACAAAAUUCUCUACCCCUCCAUCUCUAGUAGACACUGCAAUGAAAAAAUUAUCACGGGAAGAGAUGCGCAGGAGAAGAUCCAGGAAGGUGAUGCCCCAGAGAGUUCUCGGAGAAAUCAUACACAAAAACAUGGUAGAUUAUAGAGGAAUAAACGAGUAAAGACGUACAAAGGCGAGGGCGCUGACGCCGGAGUUCUGCCAGACCUGGAGACGCCGCGAUCGGAGCACGGCGAACUCCUGGGCCUGGAAUACGCUCGAUCCCUCACAGAGAACUUCCACGACCAGUAGUGCUUCGCGCAGUCUUGCGGAGAGGUCGGCCGAUCGGAAUUUAUAGUUCGUCCCCACUUUCUCACACGUGCUUUCGCU